UGAAAACUGUAGCAGCUUGCAGUGUUUCUCUCACAGAAACAGACUGCGGUCAAGCUCGCCCUCUGUCACUCGCAUCUCCGUGGUCAAACCUGCUGCCGCUAAAAUUGGAGGCAGACGGCGGCAGAGCAGAGCGAAGUCUUGGUGACCAGAGCAGACGUAGUAACGUCUCUCGUGAAACAAUGUUUGAUCAUUUUAAAGAAGUGAGCUGGUUUGACCACUAGACCAGAACACAGGACCUUCUUCCUGU